UGAGGAGCAACUGGGAACAGAAAU
rnacentral:piRNA from 1 species